GACGAACGCUGGCGGCGUGCUUAACACAUGCAAGUCGAACGGAAAGGCCCUGCUUGCAGGGUACUCGAGUUGCGAACGGGCGAGUAACUCGUGGGUGAUCUGCCCUGCGCUUCGGGAUAAGCCUGGGCAACUGGGUCUAAUACCGGAUAGGAGCCAUUUUUAGCGUGAUGGUUGGAAAGUUUUUUCGGUGUAGGAUGAGCUCGCGGGCUAUCAGCUUGUUGGUGGGGUGAUGGCCUACCAAGGCGGCGACGGGUAGCCGGCCUGCGAGGGUGGACGGCGACACUGAGACUGAGAGACGGCCCAGACGCCGACGGUAGGCAGAUGGGGGGAAGCUUGAACAAGGGACGCAGGCUGGAUGCAGAGGGGCCGCGGGGGGGAUGACGGCCUUCGGGGGGAAGACACCUUGCGCUAGGGACGAAGCUUGUUGUGACGGUACCUAAAGAAGAAGCACCGGCUAACUACGUG
rnacentral:rRNA from 1 species